rnacentral:snRNA from 1 species
AUCGUUUCUUGGUCUUUUGACUAAGAUCAAGUGUAGUAUCUGUCUUUAUCAGUUUAAUGUCUGAUACGUCCUCUAUCUGAGGACAACAUAUUAAAUGUAUUUUUGCAAGUAGGAGUUGGACUAGGAGCUUGCUCCAUCCACUCCACGCAUCAGCCUGGUAUUGCAUAUUUCCAGGAAUGGUGCAGCCCCU